GGCCUACCAUGAUGGUAACGGGUAACGGGGUGUUAGGGCACGACACUGAAGAGGGAGCCUGAGAAACGGCUACCACAUCCAAGGAAGGCAGCAGGCGCGCAAAUUACCCAAUCCCGACACGGGGAGGUAGUGACAAUAAAUAACAAUACAGGGUUCUUUUGGAUCUUAUAAUUGGAAUGAGUACAAUUUAAAUCUCUUAACGAGGAACAAUUGGAGGGCAAGUCUGGUGCCAGCAGCCGCGGUAAUUCCAGCUCCAAUAGCGUAUAUUAAAGUUGUUGCAGUUAAAAAGCUCGUAGUUGAAUUUCGGGAUCAAUAUUUCGGUCAUGCCGUUGGUAUGCACUGUUAUCAUUGAUUUCUCACCUUCUAAAGAACCGUAAUGCCAUUAAUUUGGUGUUACGGGGAAUUAGGACUGUUACCUUGAAAAAAUUAGAGUGUUUAAAGCAGGCUCACGCUUGAAUACAUUAGCAUGGAAUAAUGAAAUAGGACAUCCGAUUCUAUUUUGUUGGUUUCUAGGAUCGAUGUAAUGAUUAAUAGGGAUAGUUGGGGGCAUUAGUAUUCAAUUGUCARAGGUGAAAUUCUUGGAUUUAUUGAAGACUAACUACUGCGAAAGCAUUUGCCAAGGAUGUUUUCAUUAAUCAAGAACGAAAGUUAGGGGAUCGAAAACGAUCAGAUACCGUCGUAGUCUUAACCAUAAACUAUGCCGACUAGGGAUCAGAUGAUAUUAAUUUUUUAAUGACUCAUUCGG
rnacentral:rRNA from 1 species